UACGUAGGGGGCUAGCGUUGUCCGGAAUCAUUGGGCGUAAAGCGCGUGUAGGCGGUCCGGUAAGUCCGCUGUGAAAGUCGGGGGCUCAACCCUCGGAUGCCGGUGGAUACUGUCGGGCUUGAGUACGGAAGAGGCGAGUGGAAUUCCUGGUGUAGCGGUGAAAUGCGCAGAUAUCAGGAGGAACACCAAUGGCGAAGGCAGCACUCUGGGACGGUACUGACGCUGAGACGCGAAAGUGUGGGGAGCAAACAGG
rnacentral:rRNA from 1 species